CCCCGUGUCCCGCAUUCAGAUGCCUUGGCUUGUUUAUUAGAGAGCAGUGGUUUUAAGUGAUAGAUUAAGGAAUGGCUGAACAAUGAAAGGAAAACAGAUUUUUUUCUCACCCAGAUUUUUAAAAUUUGAGAGGAAAUCUCAUGUCUGAGGCUCAAGAUGCUUUUCCACAGCUGAUGGAGUUUGGCAAAGGGUUUGAGCCACUUGGAGGGCAGACAUUUGAGGCUGGGACAUAGAAUCUGCUUUUGCAGUUGUACAGGUAUUUCUUCCUCAGCAACAGGGAGAAGUCUGCACACCUACCAAAGCUGC